AAGUCGUAACAAGGUUUCCGUAGGUGAACCUGCGGAAGGAUCAUUAACACGUCAACAACGUAUCAAACAACGAACGUGAACUAUCUCUUACCUACUUUCCGGAAGUGUUGCUGUCAUGAUCAGUGAUGGGUAUAGUGAACUCCUAAAAAAGUUCAAUAUACGGUCAUGUCUUUGGCUGGGGCUUCGAGCCCAAUACGCAUUGUGGAGUAGGUCUUUAAUCUACACCAAAAACAAUUUUAACCUUUAAAUCAACUUGACUGAUGUACGUAUGUAAGAGAAAUCUGGCAUUCGUCUUUUAUCUAAACUAAGCACAACUCUUAGCAAUGGAUAUCUUGGUUCUC
rnacentral:misc_RNA from 1 species